AGAGUUUGAUCAUGGCUCAGAACGAACGCUGGCGGCAGGCUUAACACAUGCAAGUCGAACGCAUCCUUCGGGGUGAGUGGCAGACGGGUGAGUAACGCGUGGGAACGUGCCCUUCAGUUCGGAAUAACCCAGGGAAACUUGGGCUAAUACCGGAUACGUGCGAGAGCAGAAAGAUUUAUCGCUGAAGGAUCGGCCCGCGUCUGAUUAGCUAGUUGGUGGGGUAAUGGCCCACCAAGGCGACGAUCAGUAGCUGGUCUGAGAGGAUGAUCAGCCACAUUGGGACUGAGACACGGCCCAAACUCCUACGGGAGGCAGCAGUGGGGAAUAUUGGACAAUGGGCGCAAGCCUGAUCCAGCCAUGCCGCGUGAGUGAUGAAGGCCUUAGGGUUGUAAAGCUCUUUCAGCGGGGACGAUAAUGACGGUACCCGCAGAAGAAGCCCCGGCUAACUUCGUGCCAGCAGCCGCGGUAAUACGAAGGGGGCUAGCGUUGUUCGGAAUCACUGGGCGUAAAGGGCGCGUAGGCGGCUUUGUAAGUCGGGGGUGAAAGCCUGUGGCUCAACCACAGAAUUGCCUUCGAUACUGCAUGGCUUGAGACCGGAAGAGGUAAGUGGAACUGCGAGUGUAGAGGUGAAAUUCGUAGAUAUUCGCAAGAACACCAGUGGCGAAGGCGGCUUACUGGUCCGGUUCUGACGCUGAGGCGCGAAAGCGUGGGGAGCAAACAGGAUUAGAUACCCUAGUAGUCC
rnacentral:rRNA from 1 species